rnacentral:lncRNA from 1 species
AAGGUGGCUGUCGUCGCUGCCAUUUUCUCCAUGCUGGUCAUACCUUCCUUGGGGCGCUGUCCAAGUUCAUCUCUAGGGCCAGUGCCGCCGCCGCCGCCGCCCGCUUCAUCGGCUCCGACGCUGGUGCCGGGGCCGAAGGUAUCUUGCGCGUACUGCACUCAGUGCGGGAACUCCUGCAGCAGCGACUGUGCCGCCAUCAGCUGCCUCCGAGAAUAAACAUAUAUAGGCGAUGUAUCUACUCCGUUAGGAGCCAUGUGUUUUUUUUUUUCUUCCUUGAAACACCAUAUAUCUACAACUCGUAGAUGCACACGCACUCGCACCAACUUCUCUAUGCAACACUACUUACUACAGGCCGCACUUCCAUUUAUGGUCAGCUCUACUGAUUACAGAAGGUGUUUGAUACGUGCAGUGGUCUCAAUACUAGAUUUUCUUUUGCUAUUUCGAUUCCUGUUGGAUAAAGAAUAAUUAAGAGUAAAUUGCAUAGAGCCACAACUUCAGCGUCCGUAACUUACAAUGUUUUUUUUGACAUUUUCUCACGAAACCAGGACUCUUGGCCUACCAUAUAUAUUAAAGGACAAAAACUGAAGGGGAAAUUGGCCAGGGGACACGGUUAUUUUGUGGUCUUUGCCCAAACACACCGCUCAAUUGUGGAGCUCAGUACCAUUACAAUUUUCGGGCCAUUUGCUGAAACACACCGCCCGUCCAAAAAAGGGAAGUCCCGUGAAUUACAGUCUUACCCCGUUCUCAUGUUUCUCCGGCCCGAACCGUUCCCCGUUCUCUUCCUCUUUUGUUCUCUGGUCACCCGUGAAGAAUGCCCCAGUUAACACCCUCGUCAAUGAGUUCAACGACUUCUCCAUCGAUGGCCCGGGUCACAGCCAAGAGCAGUAGCAGGAGACCAACAUCA